ensembl:ncRNA F11D5.31 ncRNA
UACAAACCUGUGUUUUACGGGCAGGGAGGGGCAAUCAAGUGAGCGAGAAAUGCAUGAGCGUGAGCUAACAAAUGACCGUAUCAGUGGCACUAUAUUCUUGAGUGCUUUUUCGGAUGGGCACAAAAUAAGUGAAAGAAAAGCUCUUGAAUGGAUACGGAAAAUCAACGAAAAAACGAGAUGAAGACGGAAAGAUCACUAAGUUCGGGGUUUAGAGUUG